rnacentral:rRNA from 1 species
GUGGGGAAUAUUGGACAAUGGGCGCAAGCCUGAUCCAGCCAUGCCGCGUGAGUGAUGAAGGUCUUAGGAUUGUAAAGCUCUUUCACCGGUGAAGAUAAUGACGGUAACCGGAGAAGAAGCCCCGGCUAACUUCGUGCCAGCAGCCGCGGUAAUACGAAGGGGGCUAGCGUUGUUCGGAAUUACUGGGCGUAAAGCGCACGUAGGCGGAUAUUUAAGUCAGGGGUGAAAUCCCAGAGCUCAACUCUGGAACUGCCUUUGAUACUGGGUAUCUUGAGUAUGGAAGAGGUGAGUGGAAUUCCGAGUGUAGAGGUGAAAUUCGUAGAUAUUCGGAGGAACACCAGUGGCGAAGGCGGCUCACUGGUCCAUUACUGACGCUGAGGUGCGAAAGCGUGGGGAGCAAACAGGAUUAGAAACCCCGGUAGUCC